AUUGAACGCUGGCGGCAGGCCUAACACAUGCAAGUCGAACGGUAACAGGAAGAAGCUUGCUUCUUUGCUGACGAGCGGCGGACGGGUGAGUGAUGUCUGGGAAACUGCCUGAUGGAGGGGGAUAACUACUGGAAACGGUAGCUAAUACCGCAUAACGUCGCAAGACCAAAGAGGGGGACCUUCUGGCCUCUUGCCAUCGGAUGUGCCCAGAUGGGAUUAGCUAGUAGGUGGGGUAACGGCUCACCUAGGCGACGAUCCCUAGCUGGUCUGAGAGGGUGACCAGCCACACUGGAACUGAGACACGGUCCAGACUCCUACGGGAGGCAGCAGUGGGGAAUAUUGCACAAAGGGCGCAAGCCUGAUGCAGCCAUGCCGCGUGUAUGAAGAAGGCCUUCGGGUUGUAAAGUACUUUCAGCGGGGAGGAAGGGAGUAAAGUUAAUACCUUGGCUCAUUGACGUUACCCGCAGAAGAAGCACCGGCUAACUCCGUG
rnacentral:rRNA from 1 species